rnacentral:rRNA from 1 species
GACGAGGGGUCCUAGCGUUGUUCGGAAUCAUUGGGCGUAAAGCGUGUGUAGGUGGCUAUUCAAGUCAGUUGUGAAAUCCCCGGGCUCAACCCGGGAAGUGCUUCUGAUACUGUUUAGCUUGAGUACUGGAGAGGAUAGUAGAAUUCCUGGUGUAGUGGUGAAAUACGUAGAUAUCAGCAGGAAUACCGGUGGCGAAGGCGGCUAUCUGGGCAUGUACUGACGCUGAGACACGAAAGCGUGGGGAGCAAACAGG